GAUGAACGCUGGCGGCGUGCCUAAUACAUGCAAGUCGAGCGAACAGACGAGGAGCUUGCUCCUCUGACGUUAGCGGCGGACGGGUGAGUAACACGUGGAUAACCUACCUAUAAGACUGGGAUAACUUCGGGAAACCGGAGCUAAUACCGGAUAAUAUAUUGAACCGCAUGGUUCAAUAGUGAAAGACGGUUUUGCUGUCACUUAUAGAUGGAUCCGCGCCGCAUUAGCCAGUUGGUAAGGUAACGGCUUACCAAGGCAACGAGGCGUAGCCGACCUGAGAGGGUGAUCGGCCACACUGGAACUGAGACACGGUCCAGACUCCUACGGGAGGCAGCAGUAGGGAAUCUUCCGCAAUGGGCGAAAGCUUGACGGAGCAACGCCGCGUGAGUGAUGAAGGUCUUCGGAUCGUAAAACUCUGUUAUUAGGGAAGAACAAAUGUGUAAGUAACUAUGCACGUCUUGACGGUACCUAAUCAGAAAGCCACGGCUAACUACGUG
rnacentral:rRNA from 1 species